AUACGUAGGGAGCGAGCGUUGUCCGGAAUUACUGGGUGUAAAGGGAGCGUAGGCGGGAUGGCAAGUCAGAUGUGAAAACUAUGGGCUCAACCCAUAGACUGCAUUUGAAACUGUUGUUCUUGAGUGAAGUAGAGGUAAGCGGAAUUCCUGGUGUAGCGGUGAAAUGCGUAGAUAUCAGGAGGAACAUCGGUGGCGAAGGCGGCUUACUGGGCUUUUACUGACGCUGAGGCUCGAAAGCGUGGGGAACAAACAGGAUUAGAUACCCUGGUAGUCCACGCUGUAAACGAUGAUUACUAGGUGUGGGGGGACCGACCCCUUCCGUGCCGCAGUUAACACAAUAAGUAAUCCACCUGGGGAGUACGGCCGCAAGGUUGAAACUCAAAGGAAUUGACGGGG
rnacentral:rRNA from 1 species